AACCCCUACGCAUUCAGUUGCCAUCGGGUAAUGCCGGGCGACUCUGGAAGGACUGCCAUCGACAAGAUGGAGGAAGGUGGGGAUGACGUCAAGUCAUCAUGGCCCUUAUGUCCAGGGCGACACACGUGCUACAAUGGCCGGCACAACGGGAAGCGAGUUCGCGAGGACGAGCGGAUCCCUCAAAGCCGGUCGCAGUUCGGAUUGAAGUCUGCAACUCGACUUCAUGAAGCUGGAAUCGCUAGUAAUCGUGGAUCAGCCAAGCCGCGGUGAAUACGUUCCCGGGCCUU
rnacentral:rRNA from 1 species